rfam:Gossypium hirsutum cultivar TM-1 chromosome 18, whole genome shotgun sequence
UGUUAAAAUUUCAUCCAUUUGCACUAUUAAAACUGGCAUGAUUGACGAAAUAACCAAACAAUGAUACAUGGUGUGCCAUGUGUACCUCAUGUUGACGUAAGAGACCAAUUUUUAACAGUAGAAAUGGAUGAAAUUUUUAAUA